GUGGGGAAUAUUGGGCAAUGGGCGAAAGCCUGACCCAGCAACGCCGCAUGAAGGAAGAAGGUCUUCGGAUCGUAAACUUCUAUCCUUGGUGAAGAUAAUGACGGUAGCCGAGAAGGAAGCCCCGGCUAACUACGUGCCAGCAGCCGCGGUACUACGUAGGGGGCAAGCGUUGUCCGGAAUGAUUGGGCGUAAAGGGCGCGUAGGCGGCCUGGUAAGUCUGGAGUGAAAGUCCUGCUUUUAAGGUGGGAAUUGCUUUGGAUACUGUCGGGCUUGAGUGCAGGAGAGGUAAGUGGAAUUCCCGGUGUAGCGGUGAAAUGCGUAGAGAUCGGGAGGAACACCAGUGGCGAAGGCGACUUACUGGACUGUAACUGACGCUGAGGCGCGAAAGUGUGGGGAGCAAACAGGAUUAGAAACCCUAGUAGUCC
rnacentral:rRNA from 1 species